UACGUAGGGUGCGAGCGUUAAUCGGAAUCACUGGGCUUAAAGCGUGUGUAGGCGGACUUCUAAGUACCUUGUGAAAUCCCACGGCUCAACCGUGGAACUGCUCGGUAUACUGGUUGUCUUGAGCCACUUAGGGGCAGUCGGAACAGAUGGUGGAGCGGUGAAAUGCGUAGAUAUCAUCUGGAACGCCAACGGUGAAAACAGACUGCUGGGAGUGAUGCUGACGCUGAGACACGAAAGCUAGGGGAGCGAACGGG
rnacentral:rRNA from 1 species